GCGAGUGUGCUGGAAUAGGCAGACAGGCACGUUUGAGGGGCGUGUGUCGUAAGGCGUAUGGGUUCAAGUCCCAUCACUCGCACCA
rnacentral:tRNA from 1 species